CUUUGCUGACGAGUGGCGGACGGGUGAGUAAUGUCUGGGAAACUGCCUGAUGGAGGGGGAUAACUACUGGAAACGGUAGCUAAUACCGCACAACGUCGCAAGACCAAAGAGGGGGACCUUCGGGCCUCUUGCCAUCGGAUGUGCCCAGAUGGGAUUAGCUAGUAGGUGGGGUAACGGCUCACCUAGGCGACGAUCCCUAGCUGGUCUGAGAGGAUGACCAGCCACACUGGAACUGAGACACGGUCCAGACUCCUACGGGAGGCAGCAGUGGGGAAUAUUGCACAAUGGGCGCAAGCCUGAUGCAGCCAUGCCGCGUGUAUGAAGAAGGCCUUCGGGUUGUAAAGUACUUUCAGCGGGGAGGAAGGGAGUAAAGUUAAUACCUUUGCUCAUUGACGUUACCCGCAGAACAAGCACCGGCUAACUCCGUGCCAGCAGCCGCGGUAAUACGGAGGGUGCAAGCGUUAAUCGGAAUUACUGGGCGUAAAGCGCACGCAUGCGGUUUGUUAAGUCAGAUGUGAAAUCCCCGGGCUCAACCUGGGAACUGCAUCUGAUACUGGCAAGCUUGAGUCUCGUAUAGGGGGGUAGAAUUCCAGGUGUAACGGUGAAAUGCGUAGAGAUCUGGAGGAAUACCGGUGGCGAAGGCGGCCCCCUGGACGAAAACUGACGCUCAGGUGCGAAAGCGUGGGGAGCAGACAGGAUUAGAUACCCUGGUAGUCCACGCCAUACACGAUGUCUACUUGGAGGUUGUGCCCUUGAGGCGUGGCUUCCGGAGCUAACGCGUUAAGUCGACCGCCUGGGGGAGUACGGCCGCAAGGUUAAAACUCACAUGAAUUGACGGGAGCCCGCACAAACUGUGGAGCAUGUGGUUUAAUUCGAUGCAACG
rnacentral:rRNA from 1 species